rnacentral:lncRNA from 1 species
AUGCACAUUUGCUUGAGAGCUUCCGACAAAUUGUUGGAUCUGCAGAAGACUUAUUAGAUACGGUCCAACUCUGCAAUAGAUCUUCCUUCCUGUGGGUGUAAUGAGUUACAAGUAGGAGGUGGACGUCCUCCUUGGACUGAUAUGUUCUGCUUUGGUGGAGUGUGCUUGCCGUUGAACUUGCUUCUACCCUUCCUCGUUGGUGUUCUACAUCGGUAUGGAUUCUUCACGUGGGUAAACCCGCAAUGGGUGACGCUCAGAUACUGGCAACAAAGGUGAUCAGUUCACACCUCUCAAACCAUACGAAAGUGCUCAAGCAGAUGAUGUUUCUUCAGUGACUCCAUGCAGAUGCUGAACAUUGGACAGGUGGAAUGGAUCUGGACGCCAGUCAGAACCUGUGCCAGCGGCCGGAGUGGAAGAGGCAGCAGUUGCAGGGGAGAAGGGCAAGCAGGAUACGUCACGCCAAACAAUGUUGUUAAGCCACAGAAGAGCCAAUAGAUCAAUAGAAGGCCGAUAACAUCAUAUGCGAGAGCAAAACAGACAACACCCGCCUCAUGCUG